AUACUUACCUUGUUUGGGCUGGCGCGAUCAAAAAGGCGCUUCGCCGUGGAAAGGCUCCUACAUUGCACAGCGUGGAGAGCCUUGCCACUCAACAUCCUUCGGGGUUUUGACAGGCAUAUUCUUUGGCACCUUCCUGGACUCAGGUCCUAC
rnacentral:snRNA from 22 species